rnacentral:RNase_P_RNA from 1 species
CCUGCUCUUUGAGAUGAUCGCCCCUUUAGUGGGGAGGAACGUCCGGACAUCACGUACUACAACGCUUUGCGUUGAGUACAUGACAGGCCACGCAAGUGAUCUGUCAUGGAACACCAUGUGGGUAACACCCAUCCAUGCGUCAUAUAUACGGUAAAGACGUGUGAGGACCAGUGCCACAGAGACGAGCCCAAAGACGCCGAAAGGCCGACUUGGGGACAUGAAACGACUCCGGCUUGAACGGAGUACUGGCUUUACCUUCGGGUACUGCCUUUCGGUAAACUCAUGGUGGUGCAAGGAGAAUUUGGAUGUCGAGAGCUAGUCCUGGUUCCGGGACUCUCGCAUGCCUCCGCUUGAGCCUUUUGGCAACAACUGGCCUAGAUAGAUGAUCAUCGGCCGUCUCUCGCAGGAGAGCUGAGCAACAAAAUCCGGCGUACCAGAGGGCAGGAUGA